AUAUAUAUAUAUAUAUAUAAAAUAUACAUUUAGUGAACAAACUAUCUGCAAAACAGUAGUGCAAUAAACAAAAAAAAGGUUGAACUGAGUUUGAUGAUCUGUUUCUAUAAUACCUACAAAGACUAAGAAGAUUAGGUUUAAAAAAUGACGUCGAAUCAAUGCCAUCUGUUCAGUCCCAUUUAAUUUGUAAUUAUUACAAAUAAAUAAAAAUAUAUCACCAACGAUAUCUCAGAAAAGUGUAUCACAUAAUCAUUGAUCAAGUUAUCGAUAUAUCUCCCAGCUCUACACAUACAUGUGUAUAUUUAACUUUUCAUAUUUUUACUAUUUCUACUGAUCAUAUUUCGGUUACAUGUCAUGUUGUGUACCUUCCAUUGUUGCACAUUUCAGGUAGGUUUGUCUUAAUAAUGCCACACACAGACACACACACACACACACACACACACACAAACACACUAUAACCAAGUACAUGACAAAAGGACUGUCUUUUAUUUCUACUUUUCGUCCACUAGGGGGUGAUAUAUGACUGACACUGGGUCAUGUACCAUCAGAGAGAGAGAGAGUAUGUGUGUGUGUGUGUGUGUGUGGCUACCGAUGUGUAUGAUUUGUGUAAUCCUUCGGUCAAGAAAUGAACUUUGUUCUCUUCUACUGAAAUAAAGACCAAAACCAUCGGUGUUAUUCAUUGUGGAGAGUGAAGUGACAAUAUGUCUGAAGAAAAUGAAAAAUAUGUAUUACAUAGCCUACCUUCUAAACAGGGUACUUAAGGGGUGAAAAAACCUUCUUAAAAAGAUGGUGUUUUAAAAGAAUCGUGCGUUUUGUUUAAACUAUAAACAAGUUUUUGGAAAAUGGUUCACCAAUGAGGAUACUUACACAGAACUGUCGCUGAAUACAUAAGACUUUGUCUAUGGUUUGACGUCCCAUGUCCCCACUGGCUGACAGUUUAGUCGUGUACAUUUAUGACCUCUGUAACACUGUUAGAUCUGAAUGUGUGAUCUUUCCUGGCAGUUGUCUGUCUGUGUGAGAGAGAGACGUGUGAUUUCUGGGGGUUUUGCUGACCAGAAUGUUUACAAAUGUGUAUAUGUUAAUGAAUUAAGGACAGAGUCGUGCGUCUCAGUGUUUAAAUAAUGAUUAAGACGUUGUAGUUAAAACACAGAAGAAACUCUGCAGCUAUCUGUUACAAUGUCUGCUCGGAGAAAUCCUAAUUCCCUUAGAGGAACGCUGUGUAUUCACCAACAAGAUGACCUGCUGAAAUGAGGGAGGACCUGACUUCUGCUCCAAGAAAAAAAAAAACAACAUGUUAGUUUGACAAUUUCUUCAUGAAGAUAUUGUAAAGAUGUUGUUGAGAAAAUUCAGCUUGCUCUUUGUUCCCAAAUAACAAUGGACCAGAUCCAUAGUUUACAGCAUCUGUCCCACACGUGUUUAAUCUGUAUUACGAGUACUGAACAGGUUAGAGGAAGAGAACAUAUAGAUUUACUGUUCAUUGGAACUUUAUUGUUUAUUUGGAUCUGUCUCGAUUCAUUUUCAUAUUCAGGUUUUUUCUAUUCAUGUCAUUAUUAUUUUUUAUGAAGUACCUUCAACCUAGGAGAGUCUGGCAUCUAACAUAACGUAUGAAUGUAGGAACAGGGAUUUUCACCAUGCGCUCCACCGGCACACUCGUUGAAAAGAAAGUCAAACAUGUUAAAUGUUCAAAGGUCAGGCAGUGCCGGAGAAAGGAAAAUAAAAACACAUCACCUGUUUAAAUUAUAUCUAUGAUCAAGUUCACAUUCAGUUAAGAAAUGAAGCUUCUGUUAAGGCUAUGUCUUCCACAGAUGUCUUCAGAAGAAAUUGAUGACCGAUUCCCUAGGUAAUCUGAUGCUGUUGUAGUUUUGGGAGUACUAUGUGAAUACAGCAAGAAGCUUCAUCAGCUAUACAUAAUCUUUAUUUCCCGUAGUUUUAUAUAAAUGUGAAGUCAGGUGCUGCCAUAGUGUGUAGAGAAAUUAAGUUCAAUUUUUAUUUAUUUAGUUUGACCUUGAUAUUGUUAAAUGAAAAUGCUCACUUUAUUAUGAAUAAUGAUUACCCUGAGCCUGUGUAGGAUAAACAAUUUGGAAAAUGGUUGUAUAAUUAUUACUUGUAAUGGGUCUAUGUCUUAGACAUAAUACAUAGCAACAAUACAAUGACCAACUUUUGUUUUUUAUUAAUUGAAAUAAUAGAAAUGUG
ensembl:lncRNA